rnacentral:rRNA from 1 species
AGAGUUUGAUCCUGGCUCAGGAUGAACGCUAGCGGGAGGCCUAACACAUGCAAGCCGAGCGGUAGAAUUUCUUCGGAAAUUUGAGAGCGGCGAACGGGUGCGGAACACGUGUGCAACCUGCCUUUAUCUGGAGGAUAGCCUUUCGAAAGGAAGAUUAAUACUCCAUAAUAUACAAGAUGGCAUCAUUUAGUAUUGAAAGCUCCGGCGGAUAAAGAUGGGCACGCGCAAGAUUAGAUAGUUGGUGAGGUAACGGCUCACCAAGUCUGCGAUCUUUAGGGGGCCUGAGAUGGUGAUCCCCCACACUGGUACUGAGACACGGACCAGACUCCUACGGGAGGCAGCAGUGAGGAAUAUUGGACAAUGGGUGCAAGCCUGAUCCAGCCAUCCCGCGUGAAGGAUUAAGGACCUAUGGUUUGUAAACUUCUUUUGUACAGGGAUAAACCUAUCUACGUGUAGAUAGCUGAAGGUACUGUACGAAUAAGCACCGGCUAACUCCGUGCCAGCAGCCGCGGUAAUACGGAGGGUGCAAGCGUUAUCCGGAUUUAUUGGGUUUAAAGGGUCCGUAGGCGGAUCUAUAAGUCAGUGGUGAAAGCCGACAGCUUAACUGUCGAACUGCCGUUGAUACUGUAGGUCUUGAGUAAAUUUGAAGUGGCUGGAAUAAGUAGUGUAGCGGUGAAAUGCAUAGAUAUUACUUAGAACACCAAUUGCG